GCCUGGGUAGCUUAGUGUUAGAGCUCCUGACUAGAGUUGUAGGGGUCCCGGGUUCGAUUCCCGGUCCAGCCA
rnacentral:tRNA from 1 species